GUAGAUGUAGUUUAAUAAAAACAUUAGAUUGUGAUUCUAAAAACAGAGGUUGAAAUCCUCUCAUUCACC
rnacentral:tRNA from 1 species